rnacentral:rRNA from 1 species
GGUAACAGAGAGUAGCUUGCUACUUUGCUGACGAGCGGCGGACGGGUGAGUAAUGCUUGGGAACAUGCCUUGAGGUGGGGGACAACAGUUGGAAACGACUGCUAAUACCGCAUAAUGUCUACGGACCAAAGGGGGCUUCGGCUCUCGCCUUUAGAUUGGCCCAAGUGGGAUUAGCUAGUUGGUGAGGUAAUGGCUCACCAAGGCGACGAUCCCUAGCUGGUUUGAGAGGAUGAUCAGCCACACUGGGACUGAGACACGGCC